rnacentral:rRNA from 1 species
UUGAAGAGUUUGAUCAUGGCUCAGAUUGAACGCUGGCGGCAGGCCUAACACAUGCAAGUCGAACGGUAACAGGAAGCAGCUUGCUGCUUUGCUGACGAGUGGCGGACGGGUGAGUAAUGUCUGGGAAACUGCCCGAUGGAGGGGAUAACUACUGGAAACGGUAGCUAAUACCGCAUAACGUCGCAAGACCAAAGAGGGGGACCUUAGGGCCUCUUGCCAUCGGAUGUGCCCAGAUGGGAUUAGCUAGUAGGUGGGGUAAUGGCUCACCUAGGCGACGAUCCCUAGCUGGUCUGAGAGGAUGACCAGCCACACUGGAACUGAGACACGGUCCAGACUCCUACGGGAGGCAGCAGUGGGGAAUAUUGCACAAUGGGCGCAAGCCUGAUGCAGCCAUGCCGCGUGUAUGAAGAAGGCCUUCGGGUUGUAAAGUACUUUCAGCGGGGAGGAAGGGAGUAAAGUUAAUACCUUUGCUCAUUGACGUUACCCGCAGAAGAAGCACCGGCUAACUCCGUGCCAGCAGCCGCGGUAAUACGGAGGGUGCAAGCGUUAAUCGGAAUUACUGGGCGUAAAGCGCACGCAGGCGGUUUGUUAAGUCAGAUGUGAAAUCCCCGGGCUCAACCUGGGAACUGCAUCUGAUACUGGCAAGCUUGAGUCUCGUAGAGGGGGUAGAAUUCCAGGUGUAGCGGUGAAAUGCGUAGAGAUCUGGAGGAAUACCGGUGGCGAAGGCGGCCCCUGGACGAAGACUGACGCUCAGGUGCGAAAGCGUGGGGAGCAAACAGGAUUAGAUACCCUGGUAGUCCACGCCGUAAACGAUGUCGACUUGGAGGUUGUGCCCUUGAGGCGUGGCUUCCGGAGCUAACGCGUUAAGUCGACCGCCUGGGGAGUACGGCCGCAAGGUUAAAACUCAAAUGAAUUGACGGGGGCCCGCACAAGCGGUGGAGCAUGUGGUUUAAUUCGAUGCAACGCGAAGAACCUUACCUGGUCUUGACAUCCACGGAAGUUUUCAGAGAUGAGAAUGUGCCUUCGGGAACCGUGAGACAGGUGCUGCAUGGCUGUCGUCAGCUCGUGUUGUGAAAUGUUGGGUUAAGUCCCGCAACGAGCGCAACCCUUAUCCUUUGUUGCCAGCGGUCCGGCCGGGAACUCAAAGGAGACUGCCAGUGAUAAACUGGAGGAAGGUGGGGAUGACGUCAAGUCAUCAUGGCCCUUACGACCAGGGCUACACACGUGCUACAAUGGCGCAUACAAAGAGAAGCGACCUCGCGAGAGCAAGCGGACCUCAUAAAGUGCGUCGUAGUCCGGAUUGAGUCUGCAACUCGACUCCAUGAAGUCGGAAUCGCUAGUAAUCGUGGAUCAGAAUGCCACGGUGAAUACGUUCCCGGGCCUUGUACACACCGCCCGUCACACCAUGGGAGUGGGUUGCAAAAGAAGUAGGUAGCUUAACCUUCGGGAGGGCGCUUACCACUUUGUGAUUCAUGACUGGGGUGAAGUCGUAACAAGGUAACCGUAGGGGAACCUGCGGUUGGAUCACCUCCUU